UGCUCCCUGAGAUUAGCGGCGGACGGGUGAGUAACACGUGGGCAACCUGCCUAUAAGACUGGGAUAACUUCGGGAAACCGGAGCUAAUACCGGAUACGUUCUUUUCUCGCAUGAGAGAAGAUGGAAAGACGGUUUCGGCUGUCCCUUUAAAAUGGGCCCCCGGCCCAAUAACUAAUUGGGGAAGGAAUGGCCCACCAAGGGAAACAAUCCUAACCCACCUGAAAGGGUGAACGGCCCCCCUGGGACUGAAAACCGGCCCAAAACCCUACGGGAGGGAACAAUAAGGAAUCUUCCCCAAUGGACCAAAGUCUGAAGGAACAACCCCCCCUGAACCAAAAAGGCCUUCCGGUCCUAAAGUUCCGUUGUUAGGGAAAAACCAGUACCAAAAUAACCGGUGGUACCUUGACGGGACCUAACCCAAAAGCCCCGGGUAACUACCUGCCAACAACCCCGGUAAAACCUAAGGGGCAAACGUUUUCCGGAAUUAUUGGGCGUAAAGCCCCCCCAGGGGGUUCCUUAAGUUUGAAGGGAAAACCCACGGGUCAACCCGGGAAGGUCAUUGGAAACUGGGGAACUUGAAUGCCAAAAAAGAAAAUGGAAUUCCAAAUGGAACCGUUAAAUGGCUAAAAAUUUGGAAGAACCCCAAUGGCCAAAGGCAAUUUUCUGGUCCGUAACUGACCCUGAAGCCCCAAAAACCUGG
rnacentral:rRNA from 1 species